GAUGAACGCUGGCGGCGUGCCUAAUACAUGCAAGUCGAGCGAACGGACGAGAAGCUUGCUUCUCUGAUGUUAGCGGCGGACGGGUGAGUAACACGUGGAUAACCUACCUAUAAGACUGGUAUAACUUCGGGAAACCGGAGCUAAUACCGGAUAAUAUUUUGAACCGCAUGGUUCAAAAGUGAAAGACGGUCUUGCUGUCACUUAUAGAUGGAUCCGCGCUGCAUUAGCUAGUUGGUAAGGUAACGGCUUACCAAGGCAACGAUGCAUAGCCGACCUGAGAGAGUGGUCGGCCACGCGAGAGCUGAGACACGGUCCAGACUCCUACGAGAGGCAGCAGUAGGGAAUGUUCCGCAAUGGGCGAAAGCCUGACGGAGCAACGCCGCGUGAGUGAUGGAGGUCUUCGGAUCGGAAAACUCUGUUACUAGUGAAGAACAUAUGUGUAAGGAACUGUGCACAUCUUGACGGUACCUAAUCAGAAAGCCACGGCUAACUACGUG
rnacentral:rRNA from 1 species